rnacentral:rRNA from 1 species
UACGGAGGGUGCAAACGUUGCUCGGAAUUACUGGGCGUAAAGCGCACGUAGGCGGAUCGAUCAGUCAGGGGUGAAAUCCCAGAGCUCAACUCUGGAACUGCCUUUGAUACUGUCGGUCUAGAGUAUGGAAGAGGUGAGUGGAAUUCCGAGUGUAGAGGUGAAAUUCGUAGAUAUUCGGAGGAACACCAGUGGCGAAGGCGGCUCACUGGUCCAUUACUGACGCUGAGGUGCGAAAGCGUGGGGAGCAAACAGG